UACAGAGGGGGCAAGCGUUGUUCGGAAUUACUGGGCGUAAAGGGCGCGUAGGCGGCCUUCUAAGUCGAACGUGAAAUCCCCGGGCUCAACCCGGGAACUGCGUCCGAUACUGGGAGGCUUGAAUCCGGGAGAGGGAUGUGGAAUUCCAGGUGUAGCGGUGAAAUGCGCAGAUAUCAGGAAGAACACCAAUGGCGAAGGCAGCUCUCUGGGACGGUACUGACGCUGAGACGCGAAAGCGUGGGGAGCGAACAGG
rnacentral:rRNA from 1 species